AGAUCCUGAAACCGUGUGCCUACAACAAGUCAAAGCUCGUUAAUGAGUGAUGGCGUGCCUUUUGUAGAAUGAACCGGCGAGUUACGAUUGCAUGCGAGGUUAAGUCGAAGAGACGGAGCCGCAGCGAAAGCGAGUCUGAAUAGGGCGAAUGAGUAUGUAGUCGUAGACCCGAAACCAUGUGAUCUACCCAUGUCCAGGUUGAAGGUGCGGUAAAACGCACUGGAGGACCGAACCCACGUACGUUGAAAAGUGCGGGGAUGAGGUGUGGGUAGCGGAGAAAUUCCAAACGAACUUGGAGAUAGCUGGUUCUCUCCGAAAUAGCUUUAGGGCUAGCCUCGGAAUUGAGAAUGAUGGAGGUAGAGCACUGUUUGGACUAGGGGCCCAUCUCGGGUUACCGAAUUCAGAUAAACUCCGAAUGCCAUUCAUUUAUAUCCGGGAGUCAGACUGCGAGUGAUAAGAUCCGUAGUCGAAAGGGAAACAGCCCAGACCACCAGCUAAGGUCCCAAAAUAUAUGUUAAGUGGAAAAGGAUGUGGGGUUGCACAGACAACUAGGAUGUUGGCUUAGAAGCAGCCACCAUUUAAAGAGUGCGUAAUAGCUCACUAGUCGAGUGACCCUGCGCCGAAAAUGUACCGGGGCUAAACAUAUUACCGAAGCUGUGGACUACACCAUUAGGUGUAGUGGUAGGAGAGCGUUCUAAGGGCGUUGAAGGUCGAUCGUGAGGACGGCUGGAGCGCUUAGAAGUGAGAAUGCCGGUAUGAGUAGCGAAAGACAGGUGAGAAUCCUGUCCACCGUAUGACUAAGGUUUCCUGGGGAAGGCUCGUCCGCCCAGGGUUAGUCGGGACCUAAGCCGAGGCCGAUAGGCGUAGGCGAUGGACAACAGGUUGAUAUUCCUGUACCAGUUGUUUUUGUUUGAGCAAUGGAGGGACGCAGUAGGCUAAGGAAUGCAUGCGAUUGGAAGUGCAUGUCCAAGCAAUGAGUCUUGAGUAGAGUUAAAUGCUUUACUCUCUAAGGACAAGUUGUGACGGGGAGCGAAAUAAUAGUAGCGAAGUUCCUGAUGUCACACUGCCAAGAAAAGCUUCUAGUGAGAAAACAACUGCCCGUACCGUAAACCGACACAGGUAGUCGAGGAGAGUAUCCUAAGGUGAGCGAGCGAACUCUCGUUAAGGAACUCGGCAAAAUGACCCCGUAAC
rnacentral:rRNA from 1 species